rnacentral:rRNA from 1 species
GUCUACGGCCAUACCACCCUGAAUGCGCCUGAUCUCGGAAGUUAAGGAGGGUCGGGCCUGGUUAGUACAGGGAGAUCGCCUGGAAAUAUUGGGUGCCGUAGGCU